rnacentral:rRNA from 1 species
UACGGGGGGGGCAAGCGUUGCUCGGAAUUACUGGGCGUAAAGGGCUCGUAGGCGGUCAACUAAGUCAGACGUGAAAUCCCGCGGCUUAACCGGGGAACUGCGUCUGAUACUGGAUGGCUUGAGUGUGGGAGAGGGAUGCGGAAUUCCAGGUGUAGCGGUGAAAUGCGUAGAUAUCAAGAGGAACGCCUGAGGUGAAGGCGGGUUGCUGGGCUGCCACUGACGCUGAGGCGCGAAAGCCAGGGGAGCAAACGGG